UAACCGGCGAUUUCCGAAUGGGGAAACCCAGUGUGAUUCGUCACACUAUCAUUAACUGAAUCCAUAGGUUAAUGAGGCGAACCGGGGGAACUGAAACAUCUAAGUACCCCGAGGAAAAGAAAUCAACCGAGAUUCCCCCAGUAGCGGCGAGCGAACGGGGAGGAGCCCAGAGCCUGAAUCAGCAUGUGUGUUAGUGGAAGCGUCUGGAAAGGCGCGCGAUACAGGGUGACAGCCCCGUACACAAAAGCGCAUGUGCUGUGAGCUCGAUGAGUAGGGCGGGACACGUGGUAUCCUGUCUGAAUAUGGGGGGACCAUCCUCCAAGGCUAAAUACUCCUGACUGACCGAUAGUGAACCAGUACCGUGAGGGAAAGGCGAAAAGAACCCCGGCGAGGGGAGUGAAAAAGAACCUGAAACCGUGUACGUACAAGCAGUGGGAGCACCCUUCGGGGUGUGACUGCGUACCUUUUGUAUAAUGGGUCAGCGAC
rnacentral:rRNA from 1 species